UCCAGGUUUUCCUUCACACUAGGGGACAGGAAGGGAGGGAAAAGCAGAGGAAGGAAAUUCAUUGAACCAUGAAGCCGGAGGUAAGAACUGGGUAAGGGACUGUGCUAGGGCUGAAAAGGCCACACCACCUAAACAGUUUAGGAAGUGCUACCUACCCACCCUCACCAACUAGGGUUACAAUGAAAACUGGCAUAUUAAACCUUCCAGGAGUCCCACAAUAAA